ensembl:lincRNA
UCGCCAGCUUCUGGACCCUCAAACUACAACAAAAUUGCUCCUCCCUGGGUCGGCUUCUCCACAACCCUCAAACUUGAACAAGACGUCUCCUCCUCGGGUUGCCAGCUUCCAGACCCUCAAAUUACAACAAUAUUGCUCCUCCCUGGGUCUGCAGCUCCACGACCCUCAGACCAGAUCAAGACCUCUCCUCCCUGGGUCACCAGCUUCCAGACCCUCGAAUUACAACAAUAUUCCUCCUCCCUGGGACUGCAGCUCCACGACCCUCAGACUAGUACAAGACCUCUCCCUGGGUCACCAGCUUCCAGACCCUCGAUCGAACUACAACAAAAUUGCUCCUUGCUGGGUCAGCAGCUCCACGACCCUGAAACUAGAACAAGACUUCUCCUCCCUGGGUCGCCAGCUUCCUGACCCUCGAACUACAACAAAAUUGCUCCUCCCUGGGUCGGCAGCUCCACGACCCUCAAACUCCAACAAGACUUCUCCUCCCCAGGUUGCCAGCUGCCGGACCCUCGAAUUACAACAACAUUGCUCCUCCCUGGGUCUGCAGCUCCACGACCCUCAGACUAGUACAAGACCUCUCCCUGGGUCACCAAAUUCCAGACCCUUGAACUACAACAAAAUUGCUCCUCGCUGGGUCGGCUGCUCCACAACCCUCAGACUAGUACAAGACCUCUCCCUGGGUCACCAAAUUCCAGACCCUUGAACUACAACAAAAUUGCUCCUCGCUGGGUCAGCAGCUCCACGACCCUGAAACUAGAACAAGACUUCUUCUCCCCAUGUUGCCAGCUACUGGAACCUCGAAUUACAACAACAUUGCUCCUCCCUGGGUCUGCAGCUCCACGACCCUCAAACUAGAACAAGACCUCUCCUCCCUGGGUCGCCGGCUUCCUGACCCUCGAUCGAACUACAACAAAAUUGCUCCUCCCUGGGUCGGCAGCUCCACGACCCUCAAACUAGAACAAGACCUCUCCUCCCUGGAUCUCCAGCUUCCAAACCCUCCAUUUACAACAACAUUGCUCCUCCCUGGUUCGACAGCUCCACGACCCUCAAACUCGAACAAGACUUCUCCUCCGCAGGUUGCCAGCUACCAGACCCUCGAAUUACAACAAAAUUGCUCCUCCCUGGGUCUGCAGCUCCACGACCCUCAGACCAGAACAAGACCUCUCCUCCCUGGGUCACCAGCUUCCGGACCCUCCAAUUACAACCAAAUUGCUCCUCCCUGGGUCGGCAGCUCCACGACCCUCAAACUAAAACAAGACCUCUCCUCCCUGGGUCACCAGCUUCCUGACCCUCGAACUACAACAAAAUUGCUCCUCCCUGAUCAGCAGCUCCACCAGCCUCAAACUCGAACAAGACUUCUCCUCCGCAGGUUGCCAGCUACCAGACCCUCGAAUUACAACAAAAUUGCUCCUCCCUGGGUCUGCAGCUCCACGACCCUCAGACCAGAACAAGACCUCUCCUCCCUGGGUCACCAGCUUCCGGACCCUCCAAUUACAACCAAAUUGCUCCUCCCUGGUUCGGCAGCUCCACGACCCUCAAACUAGAACAAGACCUCUCCUCCCCGAGUUGCCAGCUACCGGACCCUUGAAUUACAACAAAAUUGCUCCUGCCUGGGUCUGCAGCUCCACGACCCUCAGACCAGAACAAGACCUCUCCUCCCUGGGUCUCCAGCUUCCAGACGCUUGAAUUACAGCAAAAUUGCUCCUCCUUGGGUCUGCAGCUCCACGACCCUCAAACUAAAACAAGACCUCUCCUCCCUGGGUCGCCAGCUUCCUGACCCUCGAACUACAACAAAAUUGCUCCUCCCUGAUCAGCAGCUCCACCAGCCUCAAACUCGAACAAGACUUCUCCUCCCCAGGUUGCCAGCUACCAGACCCUCGAAUUACAACAACAUUGCUCCUGCCUGGGUCUGCACCUCCAUGACCCUCAAACUAGAACAAGACCUCUCCUCCUUGGGUCUCCAGCUUUCUGACCCUCGAACUACAGCAAUAUUGCUCCUGCCUGGGUCUGUGCUCCACGACCCUCAAACUAGAACAGUAGCACCAGCUGCUUCCUGGACUUCCAGCUCAAUGACUCUCAGACUUCAAAGGCAGCAACGGCUCCACCCCCAGGCUCCAGCUCCAACACCCUCAGAUCUGAGCAGCGGCAGCACCAGCUCCUUUCUGGGUCUUCUUUUUCACGAUCCUUAAAUUAGAACAGCAGCACCAUCUUCUCCCUGGGUCUCCAGCUCCACGAAACUCAAGCUAGAAUAGCAGCACCGGCUCCUCUGGGAUCUUCAGCUCCACGACCCUAAGACAUCAGUGGCAGCACCGGCUCCUCCCCUGGGCUCCAGCUCCAGGACCCUCAAACUUGAACAGAAUCACCAGCUCCUCCCCAGGUCUCCAGCUCCUUGACCCUCAUAAACAAUCCCUUCUUAUGAAAUGUAGCAGUCAGGAAAACUGUAGAGGAAGUAAAUAAAUAAAUGUUUUCCUUUCAAAUUGAUGUUUGUUUUCUGUUCACGCAAGUCAGAAAAUUUUCUACUUUCCAUCAACCUUGCAA